rnacentral:misc_RNA from 1 species
GAUGAAGAACGUAGCGAAAUGCGAUAAGUAAUGUGAAUUGCAGAAUUCAGUGAAUCAUCGAAUCUUUGAACGCACCUUGCGCUCCUUGGUAUUCCGAGGAGCAUGCCUGUUUGAGUGUCAUGAAAUUCUCAACCUUUUCAGCUUUCUUUGUUGAUCAGGCUUGGAUGUGGGAGUAUGCGGGCAUCUCAGAAGUCGGCUCUCCUGAAAUGCAUUAGCGGGACCUUUGUUGCCUGGCUUUGGUGUGAUAAUUAUCUACGCCAUUGUAGUCAAGCAGCUUAAAAUGAGGUUUCAGCUUCUAACCGUCUCCCCUGAGACAACUUUUUGACAAUUUGACCUCAAAUCAGGUAGGACUACCCGCUGAACUUAAGCAUAUCAAUAAGCGGAGGA